UACGAAGGGGGCUAGCGUUGCUCGGAAUUACUGGGCGUAAAGGGAGCGUAGGCGGAUAUUUAAGUCAGGGGUGAAAUCCCGGGGCUCAACCUCGGAACUGCCCUUGAUACUGGAUGUCCUGAGUGUGAGAGAGGUAUGUGGAACUCCGAGUGUAGAGGUGAAAUUCGUAGAUAUUCGGAAGAACACCAGUGGCGAAGGCGACAUACUGGCUCAUUACUGACGCUGAGGCUCGAAAGCGUGGGGAGCAAACAGG
rnacentral:rRNA from 1 species